rnacentral:rRNA from 1 species
UUAAGAAUCUUGCGCAAUGGGGGAAACCCUGACGCAGCGACGCCGCGUGGACGAUGAAGGCCUUCGGGUUGUAAAGUCCGAUAAGCGGGGAAGAAUAAGCAACGGGUAAUAUUCGUUGCGAUGACGGUACCUGCCUAAAGCCCCGGCUAACUACGUGCCAGCAGCCGCGGUAAUACGUAUGGGGCUAGCGUUGUUCGGAAGUAUUGGGCGUAAAGGGCGUCUAGGCGGGGGAUUAAGUUAGGUGUGAAAUCCCUGGGCUCAACCCAGGAACUGCAUCUAAAACUGGUUCUCUUGAGUUCGGGAGAGGAGAGCGGAAUUCCCGGUGUAGCGGUGAAAUGCGUAGAUAUCGGGAAGAACUCCAGUGGCGAAGGCGGCUCUCUGGCCUAGAACUGACGCUGAAGCGCGAAAGCGUGGGUAGCAAACA